GGAUGUGAGGGUGAUCUGGCUGUGACAUCUGUCACUUCGAUGAUUGCCAGGGUUGAUUCAGUUGAUCUGAUUGUCUAGAAGGAAGUGUCCCCUUCCUCUCUCCUCCCUCAUGGCACCUUGGGCAUCCCUCCCAAAGUUGCAUGCUCAGCCAAAGAGGACCCUCCUCCCCAAUAGAGGAGGACCAUUCUUAGGUCAAAGGUAUACAAGCAGCUGCGCUUCCUUGCUAGAACCUCCAAAUGAACUCUCAGAUAUCUAUUGCAGCAAAAUAAACCACCCCAAAACCUAGUGACUUACAACAUUUACAGUUUACUAUUUCUAAUAGUU
ensembl:misc_RNA 7SK 7SK RNA